ACAUGCAAGUCGAGGGGCAGCACAGGUAGCAAUACCGGGUGGCGACCGGCGCACGGGUGAGUAACACGUGUGCAACCAACCCCGUACCGGGAGAUAACCCGCGGAAACGUGGACUAACAUCCCAUGACACUCUAGAGCCGCAUGGCUCUAGAUUUAAAAUUCCGGUGGUACGGGACGGGCACGCGCGACAUUAGGUAGUUGGCGGGGUAAGGGCCCACCAAGCCGACGAUGUCUAGGGGUUCUGAGAGGAAGGUCCCCACACUGGAACUGAGACACGGUCCAGACUCC
rnacentral:rRNA from 1 species